AACGCACAUUGCACUCCCCUGGAGUAUGCCUGUUUGAGAAUCUAUAGUAUUCUUUUUUGCUUUGCUUCUUUUGGAGCAAGGCAAGAGAUAUGAGGUAUCCCUGUAAUAGGGUGCUUUGAAUUAGAUUGUCUCUGUCUUGUAUAAAACGACGACGUUUUUCACAACCUGCAGAAAAGUAUUUGAAUGGAACCUUGGUUUCUUAUGAUGCUGAAUAUGUAGGCGAAAGAUUGAGUUUUUGUAAGACUGGGGUCCAUAACCUUAAGCUUUCGAGCUUGAACCAUGGUCUCAAAUCAGGUAGGAAGACCCGCUGAACUUAA
rnacentral:misc_RNA from 1 species